AACGAACGCUGGCGGCAUGCCUAACACAUGCAAGUCGAACGAGACCUUCGGGUCUAGUGGCGCACGGGUGCGUAACGCGUGGGAACCUGCCCUUAGGUUCGGAAUAACUCCCCGAAAGGGGUGCUAAUACCGGAUAAUGUCUUCGGACCGAAGAUUUAUCGCCUUUGGAUGGGCCCGCGUUGGAUUAGCUAGUUGGUAGGGUAAAAGCCUACCAAGGCGACGAUCCAUAGCUGGUCUGAGAGGAUGAUCAGCCACACUGGGACUGAGACACGGCCCAGACUCCUACGGGAGGCAGCAGUGGGGAAUAUUGGACAAUGGGCGAAAGCCUGAUCCAGCAAUGCCGCGGGAGUGAUGAAGGCCUUAGGGUUGUAAAGCUCUUUUACCCGGGAUGAUAAUGACAGUACCGGGAGAAUAAGCUCCGGCUAACUCCGG
rnacentral:rRNA from 1 species